rnacentral:rRNA from 1 species
AGGGUUCAAUUCUGGCUCAGGAUAAACGCUGGCGGCAUGCCUAAUACAUGCAAGUCAAACGGGUGUACUUGUACACCAGUGGCGAACGGGUGAGUAAUAUAUAGGUAACCUACCCUUAAGACGAGGAUAACCAUUGGAAACGAUGGAUAAUACUGGAUAGUAUACAUUUCCGCAUGAAGAUGUAUUUAAAGACGCUUCAAAGCGUCACUUAAGGAGGGGCCUAUAUCGCAUUAGCUAGUUGGUGAGGUAACGGCCCACCAAGGCGACGAUGCGUAACUGUGCUGAGAGGCAAAACAGUCACAUUGGAACUUAGACACGGUCCAAACUCCUACGGGAGGCAGCAGUAGGGAAUUUUCGGCAAUGGAGGAAACUCUGACCGAGCAAUGCCGCCGUGAACGAAGAAGAUCUUCGGAUUGUAAAAUUCUGUUAUUGGGGAAGAACUUACUUAGUAGGAAAUGACUAAGUAUUGACGGUACCUGAUUAGAAAGCCCCGGCUAACUAUGUGCCAGCCGCCGC